rnacentral:other from 1 species
GCGGGACUGCCCGGCACGAGCUAUAUGAAUAUCCCUGAGGCUAUAAGCAAUCCAAGGGAGCUGUCCCUGCCCUGGGGCGCCGGUUCGUCCGGUAAACCGGGGUAAACGGCGCCCACCUGACGUUGAGGCGUCAGAGGAUUUCACGGCAACGACCCAUGGUGGUUCCGCC